rnacentral:rRNA from 1 species
AGUGAACGCUGGCGGCAGGCCUAACACAUGCAAGUCGAGCGGCAGCGCGUCCGACCACCCUCGGGUGGUCGGAUGGCGGCGAGCGGCGGACGGGUGAGGAAUGCAUCGGAAUCUGCCUCGUUGUGGGGGAUAACGUAGGGAAACUUACGCUAAUACCGCAUACGACCUACGGGUGAAAGUGGGGGACCUUCGGGCCUCACGCGAUGAGAUGAGCCGAUGCCGGAUUAGCUAGUUGGCGGGGUAAAGGCCCACCAAGGCGACGACCCGUAGCUGGUCUGAGAGGAUGAUCAGCCACACUGGAACUGAGACACGGUCCAGACUCCUACGGGAGGCAGCAGUGGGGAAUAUUGGACAAUGGGGGCAACCCUGAUCCAGCCAUGCCGCGUGUGUGAAGAAGGCCUGGUUGUAAGCACUUU